rnacentral:lncRNA from 1 species
CUCAUUUUCUCUUGCUGCCGCCAGGUAAGAAGUGCCCUUCACCUUCUGAGGCCUCCCCAGCCAUGUGGAACUAGCCAUCUUUCUCCUCUCUUUUAACAAAGCACCCUCGCUGUUGGUCCCUGCAAGCUUCAAAGAAUAAAAGGCAAUGCAGAGAAGGCUGGAGAUCAGGAGAGCAAUGGUGUAUUUCCAGUUUGAGUCCGAAGGCCUGGGAGUCAGCAGAGCUGCUGGUAUAUUUAUGCCCAAAGGCCAAUAAACUCAAGACCCAGGAAAAGCCGAUGUUUCCAUUUGAGUCCAAAGGUCCUCUCAGAUCUACCAUGUGAGUGCACACAUCCUUCCAGUCAACCAGAGAUUCUGUGCAUUUCUUCUGGAGAGAUCUGAUGCACAGUGAUAACUCGGCGAUACCUACACAAACUGUAGGCCAUUUUCCAGUGAUUGAAGCCACUGUUCUGGAAAGGAUGUAUGCCCAGCUUUCGAAGACACAGUCCCACAUAUACGUCUUCAAGGUGAAGCAGCCUUGUGUGGAGUGAGGUCUUGUAAAUGAGUUCAGCUACAUCGGCUGAAAAGAUGUAGCCAGUCCCCGAACAGAAAGGUGGGGUCGCUUUGGGACUCUGAGAUUCUCACGCAGGAAGUUUACUGGAGCAUGUUCUUAGGAACAACACCUGUCUCUAAUGUGAGAGGAGAAAGAAGAAGGCAAAGGGAGAGUCUGAACCUUGAUGCAGUCACAGCACAGACCUGAGCUGACCCUGCAGGGAGCUCUGGGGCUGGGAUGGUUCUGCAGAGUCCAGUGCGUGCCAGGCCAGCUUGCAUGGGCUUGGGCAGAGCUGGUGGUGCGCACUUCUUCCCAACUUCACAUUCAAUGACAUCAUGUUGAUAUCUUGAAACUGGUGGCACAUACGUUUAUAACACAAAAAUAGGCAAUGCUAGAAACCAGGGGUUCUCCCACUUCCCUUGCCUAGAAAGCUGGUUUGCCAGAAAAGCCACAGUGAAGAAAGAUUGCUUCCAUAUCUAUCUCUGUGCCCAAAUUCAUGCAAUAAAUUCUUCGCUGUUGUUUGUUGUUGUUUUUGAGAUGGAGUCUCACUCUGUCACUCAGGCUGGAGUGCAGUGGCACGCUCUCGGCUCACUGCAACCUCCGCCUCCCGCGUCCAAGCAAUUCUUCUAUCUCAGCCUCCCGAAUAGGUGAGACUACAGGUGUGUACCACCAAGCCUGGCUAAUUUUUUUUUUUAGUAGAGACGGGAUUUCACUGUGUUAGCCAGGAUGUUCUCGAUCUCCUGACCUCCUGAUCCGCCUGCCUCAGCCUCCGAAAGUGCUGGGAUUACAAGUGUGAGCCACCGCUCCCGGCCCCAGUAAAUUCUUAAUUGUUAGCAGUGCCACAGUAGAAGGAAUUCUAUACAAUAAUCCUAAGUCUUGUAUUGUUAUAGCUUCUCUAGGCCAAGCCUCCUCUGUUCUACCAAGUAUUAAUCUAAUCUCAGGAUUUCUAUCCCUGCCAUGCUAUCAGUGAUUUUUCUUACUGCCUUUCUGAAAGAGGCAACUAAGCUCCCAUGAAAAUGGAACAAUCUCUUUAAGAUACAACUUAGUGAUAUGACCUCCAAAGCCCAAGUGACAGAGUUAUCAAAGAAGUAUCUAAUAAGUACUAGAACGAUCAAACAAUAUCCUGAAUAAAGUACUUAGAAAGAAAAAAGAAACCCAGCUGAAAUGAUUACUGAAAUGAUUUUGUUUAAAUGUAUUGCUAUGCCUUUACUUGUAAACAUGGUCAUUCAUACUAAUGAAGUAGAAUAACAAUAAUUAUGGCAUGUAUUUGUUUAAUGAAGUCAUAAAAGAUUUUUGCAGCCAGUUUAGGGUGCAGAAGGUAGGAGAAGAUUUUAGAUACAUUAGCCAAGAAUUCAACCAAAGAAUUUCAGUUAAAAUCACUCCAGCUAUUUUAAAAGUUGAUUUUAAACUUAGUCCAUCCUGAGAAGGAUAUUGCUGUAUGCAACUCAAUAUCCAAUUGCUGUAUGCAAAUACUAUUAUCUUUAAGAAACUCAGAGAGCUGGUAUGGGAGAGUUCACCAUUAGUUUGGGUAGCAGAAAUAUUUAAGGGUACUAUUCUGAACAAAGCUGCACAUGUAUCAGAGUUCUUUCUUCUUCUGAGCUCUUUAUAGAAAAAGGCAACUAAAGGAAGAUCCAAGAUUUGACAGGCACAGAUUAUACAGAAUUUCUUCUCAGCUUUGCACCCUACAUCCUAUACCCAUAUUAACUCCUGGCAAUGUAGUAAUUGCAAAAACAUCAGUUAGUUAGGCAAUCAAUUUAUGAAAAAGAAAUAAAUAGGCAUAAAAUGGGGGGGAAGUUGUCCUGAUUUUAAAUAAGGCUAGAAUGUGGAAACUCAAUAAGACAAGCAUGGAUGAUUCUGAAAUUUAGCGAUUAAAAAGUGACUCAGUGUUGACUAUAUCUAUUCUAUCGGCUACCACAUUUCUAUAACAAGCAUCAAAGAAGACAGAAAGUGAGGACUCCAACAAAUAUUCUUCCAUGACAUGAAAUCAUUGGGAGCAAACUGUCUUAUACAUCACAGCUCAGCACAGAGUCUAUUUCAAUAUCAUCUUCUUAAAUGAAUUGAUGAGAUAUAGCUAGGGCCACAUUUGGAUUCUGUAAUCAGUUUCUUAUUUCCUCUCCUGUUAUAUUCAUUGCUUCAUUCAAAAAAACUGUGUUAUUUUCUGUACUGUCAUAUUCUACUAGGGGCUAGGGAUACAGAGAAUCUUGUGUCUUUCUGAAGACAGAUAUCAUCCAGAUAAUAAAGUACAGUAAUGGAGAUAAUAAAAAACAGAGGGACCCUGAACUGUGUGGGGGGGGGUGGGGGUGGUGGUGGUGCGUGUGUGUGUGUGUGUGUAUGCAUGUAUGUCUUGGUGUGUGAUUAAAUGCAUUUUUCUCUUGAAUGAGGUAUUCAGAGUAUUGAUAAUUAAGAGCAAAGCUUCCGUUUUUUGGACUGUAAAAUAUAAACCCAGUUACUGUUUCUGCUGAUCAAACAGGGGAUAUUGAGAGGAUGAAGGAAUGUAGCCUGGAGCCCUAAAAAUAAUCUGGCCUAUUUUUCCUGAUUUUAAACUGAAAUACAUCUGAGCCAGUCUUUCAACAAUUCAGCAAUAUUUUUAUUUUCCUUUUACAUGGAAUUCACAUGCUAGGUGCUGAGGACUGAAAGAGGAAUGGAGAAAACCCAAGUUGUUCUCAAAGUCUUACUAAGCAAUAAAUUCCAAAUAUCUGGUAUACCAUGAGCCUUUUAAAAUUUUGAUGUAAUUUUAUAAUGCCAUUCAGGAAUAUAAAUGUUCUAAUUGAUAUCUACCUAUAAAAUUUUAGCCUAGAUAAAUGAGUUGUUUCACAAAGAAUUUUGGUAGAACAUGCAUUUACCUUUAUAACAAGCAAACAGAACAAUGGGAUAGAUCCUUGUUCAUGUCUGGCUGUCAAACUUUUUACAUACAGCUUUAGGUCUCUGCCUUUAAAAAUGGAAGAAACUAGUUCUUAAAAUUAAGUCCAUUCCAGGGCGUAUGUACAAACAAAUUUUGGAAAGUUUACAUAUUGACUGAGUCUACUUCUGCCCAACUGGAUUUCUCAGGUCAUGCUCAGCAUAUCUUGCAAACAAUGUUAUAGGAAACUAUGCCUUGUAAGCUCAUGGAAUUUGAACAUGGCUUCUGAUUUUAACACAGGCUCUCUGCAGCCAGUUAGCUCUAGUGAGAAAUGACACUGACCAUCUGGGGGCAGUUGUUUUGCUUUUGCUUAUUUUUCUAUAGGCAUUUUGUUCUAGAUCAGUCUUUUUAGAAAUGGAUAUUGUUAUCUGUUGAUAGGGAAAAUGGGCGAGAGAAUAGUCCAACAUCUGUACACAUAUAGCACCACCACUGAAAAACAGCAAAACAAAACCAAGAGCUUAAUGAUUAUGCCCUAUAGACAGUUGAAACAGCAAUAGUAUCUCUUAAUUUAAAGGAUGGCAUCUUGACCUGAUAUGUGCUGGGAAAACAAUCCUCCUCCUGACUUAAGUGGUUCUCCAUUAUAUAUCCAGGAAUUAUAUAUCCAGGAAUAUUUGGUACAGAUGCUGGCAGCUGUAUUGACCAGAGAGGCAUAACAGGGAAGCUGCAGCAGCCCCCAGAAGAUAGGAGAUUGGGAGGUGGUGCUUACAAAGAAGCCACCCUUUGCCCUUAAUCAAUCGUACUAGAUGGGGAUUUGUAUUUUGCAAACAUCAAUGAGAUCAAUGAGAUCUUGAAUGAGAAUUGAUCAAGAUCAAGGAGAUUUGUUGAAGUUGUACAUGGCAAGCAAUAGGCCUAGUAUAAGAGCACAGUGCCCUUUCCUCUGAAGCAUAAAGUUCUUUUCUCACCAUAGGUUUUUAUUGAUGAGCACUAAAAAGUGAACAGAAAAUGCACACCUGUUACUUCCAAAUUGGACAUAUUUUCCUUAGUAGACCUUCAAAAGAAAAAGGGAGUUAAAUCUGCCGCUGUGAAAGUGUUUCCCAUGCCUUGGCUAAGUUGUGAGAUAAAUCAGUUUAGAAAUGCCAUGAGUAGAAAGAGAAAUGGUUAGAACUCAUGCUCAAAAACACAAGUCCUUUGAUUGGAAAACAAAGAUAGGUAAAGCCUGUAGACUGAAGAUCCCAAAGAACUUGAUCUGAAUGUCAGACACUCAAGAAAUAAGUUUGUAAAAGAAGGCUUACAAUUUUCAUUACAAUUAGGUGACAUGAAUGCAAUUUUAUACCUAUUCAGUACUUUGAUUAAUGCUAUUUUUUCCAGGUUUUUUGAUCUAGAAUCUCUUCUUGGCUAAGCAUAUAGGAUGCCACUUCUUGCUACCUCCACAGCAAUACAUCACCUGGACAGCUUGCCACUCUUUGUUGCCUUGAACUUCUCUGAUGUUUAGGCAGCCCAUUCUGGUACUGAGAACACAGUGAAUGAGCUACAUCCUCCUGCUUUCUUCUUCUAUUAUUACUUUUACCUGAUUUCUUCUCAGGAGGAAGCUGUACAUUUUAACAGGACAGAUAGGAGGAAAAGCAACUAUUUUUCUGCCGAGAUAACAAUUGACAACUUGGGGCAGUAUGUGCAGAGUUUUCCUGGAGUUGUAUUAAAAAUUAUCUGAUAAGCUGCCUUUGGGUCUGUGUGUUGUUUUCUUUGUGUCGGGCAUGCAGUGGGAUCUAUGAGGCUUAGCAAGCUUAGUUGGAUGUUAAACUUAGGUAGUAAACAAUGACGUACUUUGUAAUACACAGAUGGCUGGAAUGGUCAAUGUUGGAGUAAAAAUUUAUAUUAAGAUUCCUGUUGCUGCCUAUAUUCAUUGAACUUGGCACAACAGUAACCCCAAAGAUAUGAUACCUUAAGCAGUCAAUCUGUUCCUUCUUCUUUGUCUGGCUCCUAAAUACCAAUCUGUUCACUUUUCUCUUUCAAUGAAAAAACAAACAAAGGGUGGAGCCAAGAUGGCCGAAUAGGAACAGCUCCACUCUACAGCUUCCAGUGAGAGCCACAGAGAAGACGGGUGAUUUCUGCAUUUCCAACUGAGGUACCAGGUUCAUCUCACUGGAGAGUGUCAGAAAGUGGGUACAGGACAGUGGGUGCAGUGCACUGAGUGUGAGCCGAAGCAGGGCGAGGCAUCACCUCACCCAGGAAGUGCAAGGGGUCAGGGAAUUCCCUUUCCUAGUCAAAGCGGUGACAGAUGGCACCUGGAAAAUCGGGUCACUCCCAUCCUAAUACUGUCCUUUUCCAAUGGUCUUAGCAAGCCGCACACCAGGAGAUUAUAUCCCACGCGUGGCUCAGGGGGUCCUACGCCCACAGAGCCUCACUCAUUGCUAGCACAGCAGUCUGAGAUCAAACUGCAAGGUGGCAGCGAGGCUGGGGGAGGGGCGCCUGCCAUUGCUGAGACUUGAGUAGGUAAACAAAGCAGCCAGGAAGCUCGAACUGGGUGGAGCCCACCACAGCUCAAGGAGGCCUGCCUGCCUCUGUAGACUCCACCUCUGGGGGCAGGACAUAGCCAAACAAAAGGCAGCAGAAUCCUCUGCAGACUUAAAUGUCCCUGUCUGACAGCCUUGAAGAGAGUAGUGGUUCUCCCAGCAGGCAGCUGGACAUCUGAGAACAGACAGACUGCCUCCUCAAGUGGGUCCCUGACCCCCGAGUAGCCUAACUGGGAGGCACCCCCCAGUAGGGGCAGACUGACACCUCAUACGGCUGGGUACUCCUCUGAGACAAAACUUCCAGAGGAACGAUCAGGCAGCAACAUCUGCUGUUCACCAAUAUCCACUGUUCUGCAGCCUCUGCUGCUGAUACCCAGGCAAACAGGGUCUGGAGUAGACCUCCAGCAAACUCUAACAGACCUGCAGCUGAGGGUCCUGUCUGUUAGAAGGAAAACUAACAAACACAAAGGACAUCCACACCAAAACCCCAUCUGUACGUCACCAUCAUCAAAGACCAAAGGUAGAUAAAACCACAAAGAUAGGGAAAAAACAGAGCAGAAAAACUGGAAACUCUAAAAAUCAGAGUGCCCCUCCUCCUCCAAAGGAAUGCAGCUCCUCACCAGCAAUGGAACAAAGCUGGACAGAGAAUGACUUUGAUGAGUUGAGAGAAGAAGGCUUCAGACGAUCAAACUACUCCGAGCUAAAGGAGGAAUUUCGAACCCAUGGCAAAGAAGUUAAAAACCUUGAAAAAAGAUUAGACGAAUGGCUAACUAGAAUAACCAAUGCAGAGAAGUCCUUAAAGGACCUGAUGGAGCUGAAAACCAAGGCACGAGGACUACGUGACGAAUGCACAAGCCUCAGUAGCUGAUUCGAUCAACUGAAAGAAAGGGUAUCAGUGAUGGAAGACGAAAUGAAUGAAAUGAAGCAAGAAGAGAAGUUUAGAGAAAAAAGAAUAAAAAGAAACAAACAAAGCCUCCAAGAAAUAUGGGACUAUGUGAAAAGACCAAAUCUACGUCUGAUUGGUGUACCUGAAAGUGAUGGAGAGAAUGGAACCAAGUUGGAAAACACGCUGCAGGAUAUUAUCCAGGAGAGCUUCCCCAAUCUAGCAAGACAGGCCAACAUUCAAAUUCGGGAAAUACAGAGAAUGCCACAAAGAGACUCCUUGAGAAGAGCAACUCCAAGACACAUAAUUGUCAGAUUCACCAAAGUUGAAAUGAAGGAAAAAAUGUUAAGGGCAGCCAGAGAGAAAGGUCAGGUUACCCACAAAGGGAAGCCCAUCAGACUAACAGCGGAUAUCUCUGCAGAAACUCUACAAGCCAGAAGAGAGUGGGGGCCAACAUUCAAUAUUCUUAAAGAAAAGAAUUUUCAACCCAGAAUUUCAUAUCCAGACAAAUUAAGCUUCAUAAGUUAAGAAGAAAUAAAAUACUUUACAGACAAGCAAAUGCUGAGAGAUUUUGUCACCACCAGGCCUGCCCUAAAAGAGCUCCUGAAGGAAGAACUAAGUACCAGCCACUGCAAAAACAUGCCAAACUGUAAAGACCAUUGAGGCUAGGAAGAAACUGCAUCAACUAACGAGCAAAAUAACCAGCUAACAUCAUAAUGACAGGAUCAAAUUCACACAUAACAAUAUUAACCUUAAAGGUAAAUGGGCUAAAUGCUCCAAUUAAAAGACACAGACUGGCAAAUUGGAUAAAGAGUCAAGACCCAUCAGUGUGCUGUAUUCAGGAAACCCAUCUCACGUGCAGAGACACACAUAGGCUCAAAAUAAAGGGAUGGAGGAAGAUCUACCAAGCCAAUGGAAAACAAAAAAAGGCAGGGGUUGCAAUCCUAGUCUCUGAUAAAACAGACUUUAAACCAACAAAGAUCAAAAGAGACAAAGAAGGCCAUUACAUAAUGGUAAAAGGAUCAAUUCAACAAGAAGAGCUAACUAUCCUAAAUAUAUAUGCACCCAAUACAGGAGCACCCAGAUUCAUAAAGCAAGUCCUUAGAGACCUACAAAGAGACUUAGACUCCCACACAAUAAUAAUGGGAGACUUUAACACCCCACUGUCAACAUUAGACAGAAAGUUAACAAGGAUAUCCAGGAAUUGAACUCAGCUCUGCACCAAGCAGACCUAAUAGAUAUCUACAGAACUCUCUACCCCAAAUCAACAGAAUAUACAUUCUUCUCAGCACCACAUUGCACUUAUUCCAAAAUUGACCACUUAGUUGGAAGUAAAGCACUCCUCAGCAAAUGUAAAAGAACAGAAAUUAUAACAAACUGUGUUUCAGACCACAGUGCAAUCAAACUAGAACUCAGGAUUAAGAAACUCACUCAAAACCGCUCAACUACAUGGAAACUGAACAACCUGCUCCAGAAUGACUACUGGGUACAUAACGAAAUGAAGGCAGAAAUAAAGAUGUUCUUUGAAACCAACGAGAACAAAGACACAACAUACCAGAAUCUCUGGGACACAUUCAAAGCAGUGUGUAGAGGGAAAUUUAUAGCACUAAAUGCCCACAAGAGAAAGCAGGAAAGACCUAAAAUUGACACCCUAACAUCACAACUAAAAGAACUAGAGAAGCAAGAGCAAACACAUUUAAAAGCUAGCAGAAGGCAAGAAAUAACUAAGAUCAGAGCAGAACUGAAGGAAAUAGAGACACAAAAAACCCUUCAAAAAUUCGAUGAAUCCAGGAGCUGGUUUUUUGAAAAGAUCAACAAAAUUGAUAGACCGU